CCUUCUAGAUCUAUCUCUGUCGAGUAUUGUUCUAUGCUCUUUCUCUUGUCUAACUCUUUCCUUCUUAGUAUUUGCACAACAGGCAGCUGCCAAUGUCGCAUUUCUUCGGCUAUUAACCAGGCUAUAGUUUGCACGGCAGUUUCUUGAACACCAUACGGAAGUGGCUAAUUCAAUGCAUAUGGGUCAUCAUGAACCCUUCAUACCGAGCUCAUGCUCAAGCCCUUCUCCUCUUUCCAUCUUACGAUUCUACCAUAACAUUCAUUCA
rnacentral:lncRNA from 1 species